UACUAGAGUAGCACUCGCAUAUCAAUAAGCGGAGGAAAAGAAACUAACAAGGACUCCCCUAGUAACGGCGAGUGAAGCGGGAAAAGCUCAAAUUUGAAAUCUUAAAGGGUUUCCCUUUACGAAUUGUAGUUUAAAGAAGUGUUUUCUGUUGAGGUUUUGGUAAAAGUUCUUUGGAAUAGGACAUCAUAGAGGGUGAGAAUCCCGUAUUUGACCUUUACUUUCAACUUUGUGAUACACUUUCAAAGAGUCGGAUUGUUUGGGAAUGCAGUCCAAAAUGGGUGGUAAAUUUCAUCUAAAGCUAAAUAUUGGCGAGAGACCGAUAGCGAACAAGUACCGUGAGGGAAAGAUGAAAGGAACUUUGAAAAGAGAGUUAAACAGUACGUGAAAUUGUCAAAAGGGAAGCGUUUGACACCAGUGUUGUUUUUCUGAAAAUCAAUUAAAGAACUGUUUAUGCUAAGCUGUUUAGACUUUAUCAGCUAACUGUUUAGUUUUGAGCUUUUCUUUAAUGCACUUUUCAGUUAACAAGUCAACAUCAAUUUCUUUUGCUGUAAAAAAGCUUGAGGAAGGUGGCUUGAGAUUCGUCUUAAGUGUUUAUAGCCUCUUGCCUAUGCAGUCGGAGAGAUUGAGGUCUGCAGCGUAGAUCCUUCGGGGCUAAAUGCAUUUGUGCUAAGUUAUAGCAUUUUAUAGACAACUUGUUGACUAUGAUUUGUCUUGUAGCUUACUCGCUUAUGUUAUUUUACCUACGCUUAGGAUGUUGAGCGCAUGUCUCUCUCU
rnacentral:rRNA from 1 species